GGAGUUUGCAGUAACAAAGCAUCACGUUGCUCAAUGUCGCCGCCAAUAUGGUAGGGCAAACCACAGUUAGCAAAAGAGAUGUAGGGACCUCUUUCAAACAUAAUGAUUUCUGCGUCUUCACUUAAACGUCUUGCACGUGCUGCAGCCGAGGCACCGCCUGCUACUCCGC
rnacentral:antisense_RNA from 1 species